rnacentral:tRNA from 1 species
GGCCCGGUGGCGGAAUUGGUAGACGCACAACACUUAAAAUGUUGCGCUGAAUAAGCAUGUGGGUUCGAGUCCCACCCGGGCCA